rnacentral:lncRNA from 1 species
AAGCCAAAAGUGAAACAUCUGAGUAAGGAUUUGGUCAGCCUGUUUUUUACAGUUAAAUCCCAUUUUACAUGUUAAGACCACUUCCAAAGCACUUUUAAAGUAAUGUCCACAUGGUGGUGCUGAUACAGUCUGGAAUACAUUGGGUGUGGGAAUGAGUUGACCCCUCCUUCCCACUGUGGGGAAUUGUCAAAUGAGGGUGAACCACAAAGUGGAAGUAUUUUCUUAGCUCGUGAGAUUUGCCACGAGGACGGGACUAUAGGGAGAUUGGACUCAAAUUGAGAAAGGCCCUAACAUGGCAUUGGUCUUCAGCUUGUCCACUCAUGUUUCUCCUCAUCACUGGGAUGGAGACAUCCAAAAGUCUAAACCAGCGCUCAGAGUUGAAGCAGGUCAUCCAGGUGGAAUCUGGGAAGGAUGCAGUCCUAGACUGCUCUGUGAAGUUCAGUGAGGAAUCCCCUGGAUGCUGCUGAGCCCAAAAUAUCAGCUUUCCAUGCCACCUGCCAAUGAGAGACAAAGUUGUGUCCCUGUUGGUUAAAGAAACCCAGCCUGAAGAAGAGGGUCCGUAUGAGUGUGUGGUGAACACUGACAGUGGAAACACAAAUUGUAACUUCAUGCUGAAGGUCACAGUAUGAGACCAGCACCAGGUUCCUGAGAAUGCUGCAAAUCAAAAGGAAAUUCCAAAGAACAGUUACAAGAAUGUGACUGCUGUAUUUGUGGUAGUAGGCUCUCUUGCCAUUGGACUGCUGCUUCUCAAGCUGUUUCAAGCCAGAAGACUCAGACAACAUGAGCACCCAGGGUCAUGUCCAUUAGGACACACUGUUGCAAAAUGCUUCAAGAAGUUAUUCAGAUAGUUCCUCCCCAUUUCAGACUGCUUCUUUCCAUUUCGUGCCUAGUGAACACGACCUUGCAUUUGACAAUCUCUGCCGAGAGGAAUGCAGAGGUCUGGGAAGAUUAGGAGAGUACUUUCUGUUCUGGCUAAAUGCCAGGAUGUUGCUAUAUAAGUGGAAUGGAGAACUAACUCCUCGACAAGAUCACUUAGUUUAGUUUUUAUUGUUUUAGUUUCUCUAUUGCUCUCCUUCUCCUCCCCAGAUGGGAAUUCAGGAUUUGUUAUUCAAUUGUCUCUGUAACAAAUCACAAAACAUGGUAGAGCACACAGUAUCAACCCCUGUAAAAGGUUGCUUCUGGUUUCUCUUUCCAGAUGAACCAGUGGCACAGGAAGACUCUUUUGUGGCAGAAUGUUUGAGUAUAUUAUUUUUGUCUACCUAAUCGAAGAGGGAUUCCUGUCAAAACGAUCAAAUUCAUAGUAAAAUGCAGUGUAUAAAAUGUGUGUGGUAAAAUGGUGUAUAACAGUGUUGGUAUUCCUAUUGUCCCCUAUGGAACCAGAGCCUGAGGAUACAGCAGUCCCAGCAGAGCACGACUCCAGCACCAGGACAGGACUGUUUCCGUAGCGACAGAUGUAUUAUCCGGAGUGUUAUGGGCUCUCUUCCCUGUCGGUGUCAUGUCUGCUCUGUCUCUCACGCCACACAGCUAACUGAAUGUUAAUGCUUUGCCUGGAAGAGAGAACAAUCUGGUUCAACACUAUUGUGUUCCCCCUCUGCAGGAGAAAUGGAGUGCAUGCAUUAUCCUGCUACCAAGCUAAGUGUUAACAGCAUUGUCUGUAGUUGUUAACCACACCAGACUAUUCUUUCAUAUAUUGUGACUAAAACCUGAUGUUAGAGUUCAGUGUGUCAUCGGGAUCUCUGUUGAAAAGUUUGUUUCUGUUGGAGAGUCUGUCCUCUCUGUCUCUGUCCUCUCUGUCUCUCUCUCUGUUGUGGUUAGAAUGGAUAGUUCAGAGUAACAUUCAUUCAUGACGUUAUAGAUUAGCUGUUUUGGCGGUUGUCGGUCUUCGCGUUCAAUGAUACCGAAUUCCUAGCUGCAGACUAGUAAUUAAUAUCAAAGACUUGUUCUUAUUCUGUCGGUAUCGAUAGUCUAAGAGUUUAACCACAUGGUAUGGUUAAAAGUUCAGCAAGAGAAAUGCAUGGUCUGCAACCUUUAGCCAUCUCGUAAUUGAGGUAAGCUUGGCCUCCUCUCAAACCUUGCCCCUCAUUAUCAAGGUAAGCUGGUCUCGUCUCAAACCUUAGCCCUCUCGUUAUCGAGGUAAGCUGGUCUGGUGAUAGAAAACCUAGGUGGGGAUUUUAUUUAGAAGAGCAGAAAAGGGCCAGUCCCAUGACACCAGACCAUAACUGUGCUCAUGGGUGGUCCUCUGAUUAGUUAAACUCCAAAAGGGAAUUGGAGUUUCCUUCAUUAAACAGUCCAAAAUCACAUUACACAAUUUCACAAACAGUUCCAUCCUCACUCAUUCAUUUUAUACAACAAUUAGAUGUAAGCCUCAUAACUGAGGCUAUUAUAUAAACAGCGUUAUGGUAAUGUGGCCGUAUUGUCUCUCAUGAGUUUCACAAAAUUGUACCAAACGGACCAGUUCGUAGCUGGAUUCUUCACCAAUCUUUUAUACAUUCUCCAGAACAUAAAUAUUGUUCGGACCUCCAGUUCUGUGAGGUGGAAGAAAUUCCUUUGUUCUCUCUAUAAAAACUCACUCUCUAUACUGUGGCCAUGAGGAGAUAGUCUCCUCCAGGAAUUUACGACCUCUCUGAACACAGCAGCCUGGGUGUAGGAGACAGAGGGAGAUGGUGCUCGCUGUGUCCAAAGAGGGCAAUGUCAUGACACCUGAAAGGCCGCUCAGCAAGGAAGAAGCCACUGCUCCAAAACUGCUAUUAAAACUACGAUUUGCAACUGCACAUGUGGACAAAUAUCGUACUUUUUGGAGAAAUGUCCUCUAGUCUGAUGAAACAGAAAUAGAACUCUUUGGCAUUAAUGACCAUCGUUAUGUUAGGAGGAAAAAGGGAGGCUUGCAAGCGGUGCCCUGAGGCUAUUAUAUAAACAGCGUUAUGGUAAUGUGGCCGUAUUGUCUCUCAUGAGUUUCACAAAAUUGCCGCACAUUUACUGUACCGGUUCCCCCUGUAUAUAGCCUCGCUAUUGUUAUUUUACUGCUGCUGUUUGUUACUUUUAUCUAUGUUAACACGUUUUUCUUCUUAACUUCUUAAAGCAAUGUUGGUUAAGGGCUUGUAAGUAAGCAUUUCAUUGUAAGGUCUACACCUGUUGUAUUCAGCGCAUGUGACAAAUACAAUUUUGAUUUGACAACAGGGGUGGCCUAUGUUAAAAAUGUUUUAAAAAGUACAAAGCCUUUGUAAGGUGUUAAGCCUGUGAUAAAAUAUGCUUAAAAUCAUUAAAAGACAAAGUGAUUGUGUUGAAUUGUGUUUGGAAAAUAAAGAUAGACAUUGUUUUAUAAAGGUAGUGAUAAUAUUUCAUUCAGUACAGAAAUGUGUAGAAAGCUUAACUUCCACUGUCUGGAGGAUCAGCUUACCACAUACCCAGGUUAAGUUUACUGCCAUCCUCAUUUACUGCCUUUUAAAAAAAACAUAGCUGAUAUAGAAUACUUGAAUCAUUCACCUCUCAUGUCUGGGACUAGAGAAUAUGUUAUGUAGUGAACCAUUCACCUCUCAUGUCUGGGACUAGAGGAUAUGUUAUGUAGUGAACCAUUCACCUCUCAUGUCUGGGACUAGAGGAUAUGUUAUGUAGUGAAC